GUGGCAGACGGGUGAGUAACGCGUGGGAACGUGCCCUUCGCUUCGGAAUAGUCCCGGGAAACUGGGUUUAAUACCGGAUACGCCGUAUUGGGAAAGAUUUAUCGGCGAAGGAUCGGCCCGCGUUGGAUUAGCUAGUUGGCGGUGUAAUGGACCACCAAGGCGACGAUCCAUAGCUGGUCUGAGAGGAUGAUCAGCCACACUGGGACUGAGACACGGCCCAGACUCCUACGGGAGGCAGCAGUGGGGAAUCUUGGACAAUGGGCGCAAGCCUGAUCCAGCCAUGCCGCGUGAGUGAAGAAGGCCUUAGGGUUGUAAAACUCUUUCGCCGGAGAAGAUAAUGACGGUAUCCGGAGAAGAAGCCCCGGCUAACUUCGUGCCAGCAGCCGCGGUAAUACGAAGGGGGCUAGCGUUGUUCGGAAUUACUGGGCGUAAAGCGCACGUAGGCGGACUUUUAAGUCAGGUGUGAAAUCCCGGGGCUCAACCUCGGAACUGCAUUUGAAACUGGAAGUCUGGAGAUCAGGAGAGGUUAGCGGAAUACCGAGUGUAGAGGUGAAAUUCGUAGAUAUUCGGUGGAACACCAGUGGCGAAGGCGGCUAACUGGACUGAUACUGACGCUGAGGUGCGAAAGUGUGGGGAGCAAACAGGAUUAGAUACCCUGGUAGUCCAC
rnacentral:rRNA from 1 species